UCAGGCGAAGGGACAGUCUCGUCACUGCAGAUGACUGUUCAAAUACAACGUUUUAGCUUUGUUUUUGCUCGGUCAGAAAGAGACAGUUCGUGUGGAUUUUUUCCUCAUGAUUCCUGUCGAAGUUUUGUGCGUUAUUUACCUAAAGCAGCUUCGCUCUCUCUGUUCGCUCCGCUGCUCCUCGGCGCGUUGCGUCAGCGAGUCACGUGAUGACACAACAACGAAUCACAGCAGAGCAGCAGGAGGGGGAGGAGUAGCAAAGUGGACCAGGAUGUGAAAGCAGCGUUUGCUCCGGAUUGUAGAGAUCGAUCCGCCCACCCCUAGUGUGAGGGAGGAAACAAACAAGAAGAGGACAGCAGAGCGCAUCACGUUUGGAUGAUUAUAGAUGAGACAUUAUACUGCAUACGAUGAGUCAAGAUCAGUACAGUUUUGUUACUGGAGAUACAGUGUGGAGACACAGACCAGUACUGAAGAGGUGAUGUUAGUUUGUUUUUAAUGAAUUUUUGUCUAGUUAGCUCACCCUGAUCACACACGACAAGCUAAAAGUGCUAUAUUUAUUCCCUGUAAAGUUGGAAUAAUGAAUGUUUGUAAAAAUGUAAUCUAUUUUUUAAGCCCAGUGAAGAUGGUGUGAUCAGGAAUUCUGCUGUUUAUGGGAAAUCUGAAGGAACAUUUCCCAGCAUUCUACCACCAUGUUGCCCUGAUAAUGUAAAUUCAGCUCUUAGGUAAUGCAGAUGUUGUCAAAAGUUUACACACACCUUGCAGAAUAUACUGCUUCAUCAGAAUAGUAAUUGUAUUUUUUUUAAUGAUUCUACCUCGAUACCCUCUUACUGCUUAAAUUAUUAACAUUUUGCUGAUACUGCAAGGUGUAUAUAAACAACUUUAGGCCGCAACUGUGUCUGUUGCUUUCACUCAACUGUGUGGUUUCACAGACAGGGCUUAGACUAAGCCAGGAUCUAUAUAUAAUAAGGACUAUAAUAGGUAAUAAUAGGUAAUUUUUCCUUGACAUGCCUUAGAAAAAAAACAUUACUGGUGUGCAUCUUGAGACAAAACAAAGGCACUUGUAUUUUUAAGGAUCAAGUGCAAGUUUCUAUCAGUUGAAACAACUCAGAAUUACAUUUUGGUCUGGGGCUGGUCUUAAGCCUUGUCUGUGAAACCAGGGGUACAAGUAACACACUUUGGUAAUGUUUUACAAUAAGGUCUCAUAUUUCAAUUGUUGUACAUGGAUUGAUAAUUUUCUGUCUUUUGUUUUGUAUUAAAUGCGUGUCGUUUGUGUGCUAGUAAUCCUAUAAGUUAUGGCGACCAAAUAACUAGUAAUACCAGUAAAUUUUGACCUUGAGGACAUUUGUAGGUCCCCGUUGAGGAAACCGGUUUACACGUCUUACAGAAAGAUGUUUUCCAUGAUGGUGAAAUUAGCAUUGUUCUCCAGACUCUUUCUAAUAAGUGAGUUGAAGUGUUGUAACCGUAUAGUGUUGGGUUUUUCUUGUGCAGCAGCAAAAAACAUUUUUGUGUAUUUGUUUUAGAGAUUGAUUUUUUUCAAUAAAUGU